rnacentral:lncRNA from 1 species
CCUAGGUGGUUCUUAGAAUUUCUAGCCAUUUGAUUAUCAUGUUUAGCAUGGAUCAGUCGUUCAAUUUCAGAAUUGGGUUCAACUAGGUCAGAAAAAAUUAUACCGUGCAUGUAUUAGUGCAAAUCCUAAUAUAUGUGUUGUUGAGAUUUUUUUUUUAAGAAGGAGGAGAAAAAGAAGAGAAAAGAAAGAAAGAGAAAAGUUUUAAAGGUGAGAUCCUUAAGAAAAAUCUUAGACCUAAAGACGUAAGAUGAGAAG